AGUCCUACGGGACGCAGCAGGGGAUAUUGCACAAUGGGGGAAACCCUGAUGCAGCGACGCCGCGUGAGUGAAGAAGUAUUUCGGUAUGUAAAACUCUAUCGGCAGGGAAGAAAAAAAUGACAGUACCUGACUAAGAAGCCCCGGCUAACUACGUGCCAGCAGCCGCGGUAAUACGUAGGGGGCAAGCGUUAUCCGGAUUUACUGGGUGUAAAGGGAGCGUAGGCGGCCAAGCAAGUCAGAAGGGAAAACCCGGGGCUCAACCCUGGGAGUGCUUUUGAAACUGCGCGGC
rnacentral:rRNA from 1 species